AUUGAACGCUGGCGGCAGGCCUAACACAUGCAAGUCGAGCGGAUGAAGGGAGCUUGCUCCUGGAUUCAGCGGCGGACGGGUGAGUAAUGCCUAGGAAUCUGCCUGGUAGUGGGGGAUAACGUCCGGAAACGGGCGCUAAUACCGCAUACGUCCUGAGGGAGAAAGUGGGGGAUCUUCGGACCUCACGCUAUCAGAUGAGCCUAGGUCGGAUUAGCUAGUUGGUGGGGUAAAGGCCUACCAAGGCGACGAUCCGUAACUGGUCUGAGAGGAUGAUCAGUCACACUGGAACUGAGACACGGUCCAGACUACUACGGGAGGCAGCGGUGGGGAAUAUUGGACAAUGGGCGAAAGCCUGAUCCAGCCAUGCCGCGUGUGUGAAGAAGGUCUUCGGAUUGGAAAGCACUUUAAGUUGGGAGGAAGGGCAGUAAGUUAAUACCGUGCUGUUUUGACGUUACCAACAGAAUAAGCACCGGCUAACUUCGUG
rnacentral:rRNA from 1 species